rnacentral:tRNA from 1 species
GAUGAUGGAUCGAGUUGACGAGCCAGGCAUUGGGAGCCUGCGAGCACAUUGUCA